AUUGGCCAUGGAUAGAUUCAGCUGGGGGUUGUGCCCCUUUGUACCUACUCAGCCCCCAGCCCCCAUUACAGAGGGGUGCUGCACUACCUGGGGGACAAAGGUGCAGGGCAAGCCAGUUCAGGACAUAGAGUCACCCCCACAGGUGGUAUUUGAAGCAGCUCAUUUCCAGAAACUUUCCUCCCAGGUCCAUGAGGGGCCUAGCAGGAGUCAGAGUUCAGUGAAUGACUGGCUGACGAGACAGGUAAGCCACUGGCUCCCCUUUGCAGCUGUCAUCACAUGUUGUAUGAUCCUUCAUCCAACAAGUAUCAGUGUCUCUCUCUUCUCUCUUUAGAAAUGGCUGAUGGUGCCCCUGAAUGUACAGAUUCAGCCCCAGAGUCCUUGCCCAGCCUAGUAACACACUCCUUGCCAUCUGACCUCACUUGCUGGCCUGGCUUCACUUCUUGCUGCACUCCUGCAUGAGUCCUGCCCUCCAGCCUUGCUGCCUGAGUAGAGUGAGCUCCCUCCUUCUUCAGAGAAAUCAUCGACCAUCCUAAACCCAGCCCCUGGAUUUGCUAGACAGCUACGGAUGAAAAUUGGGAGAAAUCUAUGCAGAGCAAGUGAGAAUGUCUGUUCUCAGAGAUCAAGGACUAUGUUGUUCUUUCCUGUUACUUUGUCCAGUGGCCAGUGGCCGGUACAGUGGCCGGUUCAUAGUGACUGUUGGGCAACCCUCCAUCUGAGCUGCCACUGGGAGAUACAUCCCAAGAUCUGCUUUGAGGAAAUGGUGAUAGAGGCCUGGGUUUGAGCUGAGUUCUGUCACUUGCUGUUCUUGGUGAGCAUGACUUCUGUGUAGAUAGAACUCUACAGGACAGAAAGAGAUUUCAAGAUAGUCUUGACUUGCGUGACAGCUUAUGCAGGUAGGCAGGACAAAGAUGACUCUACUCCUCGCUGUUUCCUAGAUGAGGAAGAGGAGCUGCGGGGAGUGGAGGUGACUUAUUCAAGGACCCUGCGGCUAAUAGGUGGUGGGGAGGAGGGUGAUGUUUGUGGCACUGCCCUGGAGCUCUCAGCCGCUUUUUAAAUGUGCGGAGGAUCUGACAUUGAAUUUGAAGAGUGAAGACUGUCUGCCAGUGGCCCCCGAGCAGCUGCAGGGAUAAAUCUAAAGAAGUCUGCCCAGUACACCCACCUCAGCACCUUUUCUUGUGUUUAUUGUUCAUUUGUCAUCUUCCUUCGUAAUGUGCUUGCUAAAUCAUCUUGCUACUUUUUCUAUCAUGUUGUUGGCUUUUUUCCUAUUAAGCUGUAGAAGUCUUUACCUAUUUUUGAAUAUUAGUGCCUUAUUCUUUUAUUUACUAUACACGUAUGCUUCCAGAUUAUGAAUUCAAUGUGAAUACCAUUAAUAUUUAUUUACGGGUCUUUUUAUUAUGAGGUUAAAUUUGUACACAAUUAAAUGCAAAGAUUAGAAGUGUUUGAUUUGACAAAUUUGGGGAAACAUGCACACCUAUGUAACCAAAUCUAUACCAAGAAUUAGAAUCUUCCCAUCAUCCUGGAGAGCUCCCUCAUGCUGCUUCCCAGUUAGUCUCUACUGCUACAUUCCAUAGGCAGUUAGUGUCCUGAUUUUCCCACCAUACACUGAUGGCCCUGUUCUAGACUUUCAUAUAAACAGUCAAAUGUUUUAUGAGUCUUCUUUCAUUCAGCAUGUUUUCAAAAUUCACCCAGGUUGUUUCAUGUAUCAAUGAUUUUCUUUUUUAAUUUCAGAGAUAUGUUCCACUGUACAAAUUUACCCCAAUUUAUCUAUACUCUUAUUGAUGGACACAUGGGCUGUUAGCAGGUUUUGACAUGUGAAUAAAGCUGCUGUGAAUAUUCUUCCAUAAAAAUAUUUGUGGAUAUUUAUUUUCAUUUCUCUUUGAUAAAUACCUAGAAAUAGAAGUGUUUGGCCAAACAACAGGUGCAUGUUUAUAGGUUUAUAAGAAACUGUUGAGUUAGAAAUUUUCCCAAAGUGGUUGUACCAUUUCACAUUCCCAUCAAUAGUAUUUCCAAAUGCCCCAUGUCCUUGCCAACAUUUAGUGCUUUUAUUUCUUCUCAUUUGAGCUGUUCAAGUGGAUAUAAUGAUAUCUUGUUGUGGUUUGAUUUGCAUUUCCCUUAUGUUUAAUGAUAUUGAACAUCUUUUCAC
rnacentral:lncRNA from 1 species